rnacentral:rRNA from 1 species
AUUGAACGCUGGCGGCAGGCUUAACACAUGCAAGUCGAGCGAGCGGCGGACGGGUGAGUAAUGUCUGGGAAACUGCCUGAUGGAGGGGGAUAACUACUGGAAACGGUAGCUAAUACCGCAUACCAUCAGAUGUGCCCCGAUGGGAUUAGAUAGUAGGUGGGGUAAUGGCUCACCUAGGCGAAGAUCCAUAGCUGGUCUGAGAGGAUGACCAGCCACCCGGGAACUGAGACACGGUCCAGACUCCUACGGGAGGCAGUAGUGGGGAAUAUUGCACAAUGGGCGCACGCCUGAUGCAGCUAUGCCGCGUGUAUGAAGAAGGCCUUCGGGUUGUAAAGUCCUUGCAGCGGGGAGGCGUUACUCGCAGAAGAAGCACCGGCUAACUCCGUACCAGCAGCCGCGGUAAUAC